UCGACUGUUUACCAAAAACAUAGCCCUAGAAAAUAUCUAAGGUGUAACCUGCCCAAUGAUCUUUAAUUUAAAUAAAUAAAAAUUAUUAAAAAAGAUUAAAAGGACGCGGUAACCUUGACCGUGAUAAUGUAGCAUAAUCAUUCGCCAUUUAAUUGAUGGAUAGUAUGAACGGUUGAACGAAUAUUACACUGUCUUAAAAAGAGGCUUAAUAAAAUUAAAAUAAUAGUUAAGAUGCUAUUUAAAAUUGUAAGACGAAAAGACCCUAUAGAGCUUAACUAUAAUCUCUUUUAAAAAAAUCAAAAUAAAUUGUAAAAUAAAGAGGUAGGUAGUUUAGUUGGGGCGACUAUCUUCUAAAAAUAACGAAGACAAAUAAAGUUAAUAAAAAAACUUAUUGUAUAAUAAAUUAAUUUAACAAUUACAAAAGUAGAAUAUAAUGACCCGCUAUAGAUAAAUAAAAAAUUAUAGCGAUCAAUAAAUAAAAGCUACCUUAGGGAUAACAGGACAAUUUCAUUUUAGAGACCUAAUCAAAGAUGAAGUUUGUCACCUCUAUGUUGAAUUAAGAUAUCCUGACGAUGCAGAAGUCGUCAAAGGUAGGUCUGUUCGACCUUUAAAAUCUUACAUGAUUUGAGUUCAUUCCGU
rnacentral:rRNA from 1 species